CCUACGGGUGGCAGCAGUGAGGAAUAUUGGUCAAUGGGCGGGAGCCUGAACCAGCCAAGUCGCGUGAGGGAAGACGGUCCUAUGGAUUGUAAACCUCGUUAGGCGGGGAGCAAGGCCGGGCACGUGUGCCCGGAGGGAGAGUACCCGCAGAAGAAGCAGCGGCUAACUCCGUGCCAGCAGCCGCGGUAAUACGGAGGAUGCGAGCGUUAUCCGGAUUUAUGGGGUUUAAAGGGUGCGUAGGCGGAUUUUUAAGUCAGCGGUAAAAUGUCCGGGCUCAACCCGGGCCGGCCGUUGAAACUGGGGAUCUUGAGUGGGCGAGAAGUCUGCGGACUGCGUGGUGUAGCGGUGAAAUGCAUAGAUAUCACGCAGAACUCCGAUUGCGAAGGCAGCAUACCGGCGCCCGACUGACGCUGAGGCACGAAAGCGUGGGGAUCGAACAGGAUUAGAUACCCCGGUAGUC
rnacentral:rRNA from 1 species